CUCUUUCGAUUAUUUUCCAAUUAUCUAUUGUGGAAAGGAAAUUAUAGGAGGAAUCUGAAGUACUACCAGGAUAAAUUUUUUGUUGCUUCUGUAAAAUAAUAAGCUCUGACCACAUCUGCAAAGUCCGUACUUCGUAUAUACUUUAAAUAACCCUCGUUUUCUUCUUCCUCCCUCAUUUUCUGGUAAGAGACAAGAAUAAUAGAAGUCGUUGUACUUUGCCAACAUAGUAUCCGUAAAUUUUAAGAAUUAUUAUUACAAUUAUAAAAGUAUUUUUAAAAAAAUUGAAUUACGUCUAUAAUUUUCAAUUGAUUCAAUUCAUCAUGAUAUUUGUUGCAUCAUUGAUUAUUAUUAUAAUAAUACUAAUUGAAUUGUACUAUUCUAUAGUACUGAAUCAAAUUUACGGCUCGAGCGAUCCGAAAUAUGUUCCAAUAAUACAUGAUGAUAUUAAAAAUAUGAAUCUUUUGAACCAAGUGAUCAAGAAAAUGUUACGGCUUUUUCCAUUAGGCCCAAUCAUCGGUCCUAAAGCAACGAAGGAUAUAAGUGCUAUCUCUAUAUAUGAAAUGAUAAUAUUGUAUUUUUUUUAUCAUUGAUAGUAUUAAUAUUAAUUAAUAUCAAUAUUUAUUUAUGAAUAAAUAGUAAUAUAUAAAGUGGAAGAAAAUUGGGCGAUACCAAAAAGAUGUUCUGUCAUAUUUUGAACCUCUAAAAUUCAUUGGAAUCAGAAAUAUUGGAACAAAUCAUUGAAAUUCGAUUCAGAUGGGUUUCUAUCCUGCAAUGUUCAUUCUUACAAUUUUUUACGAUUCGGCAUUGGAACUAGAAAUUGCACUGGUCAAAUGAAGGUAUGCUACAAAUGAAAUUAUUCCGUUGUAUGUGUUUCUUGAUAAGUCUUUAGAUUUUUCUUUAAUAUUUCCAUGAUUCACAAAAUCUUUUUCGGUUUUAUGCAAGAAACAUUUUGGG